rnacentral:rRNA from 1 species
AUUGAACGCUGGCGGCAGGCCUAACACAUGCAAGUCGAGCGGAUGAGGGUAGCUUGCUAUCUGAUUCAGCGGCGGACGGGUGAGUAAUGCCUAGGAAUCUGCCUGGUAGUGGGGGACAACGUUUCGAAAGGAACGCUAAUACCGCAUACGUCCUACGGGAGAAAGUGGGGGAUCUUCGGACCUCACGCUAUCAGAUGAGCCUAGGUACGAUUAGCUAGUUGGUGAGGUAAAGGCUCACCAAGGCGACGAUCGUUAACUGGUCUGAGAGGAUGGUCAGUCACACUGGAACUGAGACACGGUCCAGACUCCUACGGGAGGCAGCAGUGGGGAAUAUUGGACAAUGGGCGAAAGCCUGGUCCAGCCAUGCCGCGUGUGUGAAGAAGGUCUUCGGAUUGUAAAGCACUUUAAGUUGGGAGGAAGGGCAGUAAGUUAAUACCUUGCUGUUUUGACGUUACCGACAGAAUAAGCACCGGCUAACUACGUGCCAGCCGCCGCGGUAAGAC